GACGAACGCUGGCGGCGUGCCUAACACAUGCAAGUCGAACGGAACUGUUUUGAAAGAUUUCUUCGGAAUGAAUUUGAUUUAGUUUAGUGGCGGACGGGUGAGUAACGCGUGAGUAACCUGCCUUCAAGAGGGGAAUAACAUUCUGAAAAGAAUGCUAAUACCGCAUGACAUAUCGGAACCACAUGGUUUUGAUAUCAAAGAUUUUAUCGCUUGAAGAUGGACUCGCGUCCGAUUAGUUAGUUGGUGAGGUAACGGCUCACCAAGACCGCGAUCGGUAGCCGGACAGAGAGGUUGAGCGGCCACAUUGGGACUGAGACACGGCCCAGACUCCUACGGGAGGCAGCAGUGGGGGAUAUUGCGCAAUGGGGGCAACCCUGACGCAGCAACGCCGCGUGAAGGAUGAAGGUUUUCGGAGUGUAAACUUCUUUUAUUAAGGACGAAAAAUGACGGUACUUAAUGAAUAAGCUCCGGCUAACUACGUG
rnacentral:rRNA from 1 species